AAUCUCAUUUUAUCUGUUUGCUUCAGGAGCUAGAAACAGAUCAAGUUAUAAAGCAACUAAAGUAUGUUCAGAUGCUGAGGCCCCAGCUAGCUGCCAAACGUCGAAAAUCAGAUCAUAGAAAAAAAAAAAAGUGAUGGCGAUGCACAAAAUCCUACAGUAGAUGAAUCAAACACAGAUUCCGUAACAUGGUGAGAAAUGCUUGUUAAUUUUGUCUAGAGCGUCCAUACAACUUGCCUUGCCUGUCUUGUACAUUCAGGUCAUAGAAAUCCAAAGUUAGUCGAGUAUUCUGCAUCACAGUUGUUUAGCUCUAUAAUUGAUACAGAAGGAUGAACCAGAAUAUAGAUGUUUUGGCCCCUUGCCAUCGUU